rnacentral:vault_RNA from 13 species
GGGCCGGCCGUAGCUCAGCGGUUACUUCUGUCAACGAAAGGCUUCUUUCGGUUAAAUCUCUUCGGAGGUUCGAGCCCCCGCGGGCGCUUUCCGGUCCUUUU